rnacentral:misc_RNA from 1 species
AAAAAAACUUAUUCCACAUAUGCAAGAUAUUUUAUAAACGUGAUGCAAUAUCAAUAGAUUGUCAUUUUGUAAUUUAGUCGGAAUGUUUGACUUAGUUUGUUGUCGAUUGCAUUGUAAUGUUCGUCAUUGUGCAAUUCACCCAUCUUAUAGUUGUAACGUACUGGUCAUUGUCAUUAUGUUAUUUCCUGAAUUCCAACCUGCAACCACAUUCAGGUAGAAAAUGGUUUUAAUUUUCAUAAAAUAUUUAUUUUUUCCGUCCAUUAUUAAUAUAAAAACUUUUAAACUCGCAUAAUCAUAUAUAGUCACUUUACUCCGUCCAAUUUAUUUACUGUCGAAAGCGAGUUCACAUAUUUACACCCUUGUCAUAUGCAUUGUAACAUCCAAACCCAAGUCUUAAUUAUUUUAAGACUGGAUUUUUUCUCUCCAUUUUUGAAGAGUUUAACCUAGAAAAUUGUUAUGCAUUUUUUUAAAGAACCAAUUUGAAAAUAACACUGUCUUUUAAAUCAAAAUUAAAGUGCUUUAAAGAUUGUGCUUUCUUUUACAGCUACAGAUUUUCAAUAUGUCAAACAGUGCUUUAUACAUGUAUUUUGCCUUGUUUUCCCCCUUUGUUUAAAAGUGUAAUUAAUCUCGUGAUCUUAGACUGAUUCUAGAUACCAGAGGUCAAGUUGUGAUCAUUUAUUUUUGUUAUGAUAAGUAUUUGCAGAGAUAUUAUUUUAAUAACUUAUAUGUAAAAUGUUUAAUCAAAUAAAUUAGACACUC